GACGAACGCUGGCGGCGUGCUUAACACAUGCAAGUCGAACGGAAAGGCCCUGCUUUUGUGGGGUGCUCGAGUGGCGAACGGGUGAGUAACACGUGAGUAACCUGCCCUUGACUUUGGGAUAACUUCAGGAAACUGGGGCUAAUACCGGAUAGGAGCUCCUGCUGCAUGGUGGGGGUUGGAAAGUUUCGGCGGUUGGGGAUGGACUCGCGGCUUAUCAGCUUGUUGGUGGGGUAGUGGCUUACCAAGGCUUUGACGGGUAGCCGGCCUGAGAGGGUGACCGGGCAGGGGGGGACCGGGAGGCGGCAGGGGGGCAUACGGGGGGCAGCGGGGGGGAGUGUGGGACCAUGGGCGGGGGCGUGAUGCAGGAAUGCGGCGUGGAAGAUGCGGGCCUUCGGGAAGAAAACAGGGUUCGGCUGUGGAGAAGCGCGAGAGACGGUAAAGGGAAAAGAAGCCCCGGAUAACUAC
rnacentral:rRNA from 1 species